rnacentral:rRNA from 1 species
AGAACGAACGCUGGCGGCAGGCUUAACACAUGCAAGUCGAGCGCGCCCUUCGGGGUGAGCGGCGAACGGGUGAGUAACGCGUGGGAACGUGCCCCUUUCUUCGGAAUAGCCUCGGGAAACUGGGAGUAAUGCCGAAUACGCCCAUUUAGAGUGAUCCAUUUGGGGAAAGAUUUAUCGGAGAGGGAUCGGCCCGCGUUGGAUUAGGUAGUUGGUGGGGUAAUGGCCUACCAAGCCGACGAUCCAUAGCUGGUUUGAGAGGAUGAUCAGCCACAUUGGGACUGAGACACGGCCCAAACUCCUACGGGAGGCAGCAGUGGGGAAUAUUGGACAAUGGGCGAAAGCCUGAUCCAGCCAUGCCGCGUGAGUGAUGAAGGCCCUAGGGUUGUAAAGCUCUUUCAACGGUGAAGAUAAUGACGGUAACCGUAGAAGAAGCCCCGGCUAACUUCGUGCCAGCAGCCGC